rnacentral:rRNA from 1 species
UACAGAGGUGGCAAGCGUUGUUCGGAAUUACUGGGCGUAAAGGGCGCGUAGGCGGUUCGUUAAGUCCUGUGUGAAAUCCCCCGGCUCAACUGGGGAGCUGCACAGGAACUAGCGGGCUUGAGUUCGGGAGAGGGAAGCGGAAUUCCGGGUGUAGCGGUGAAAUGCGUAGAUAUCUGCAGGAACACCCGUGGCGAAAGCGGCGCCGCUGGACCACUACUGACGCUGAGGAACGAAAGCUAGGGGAGCAAACAG